rnacentral:rRNA from 1 species
GACGAACGCUGGCGGCGUGCUUAACACAUGCAAGUCGAACGGAAAGGCCCUGCUUUUUUGGGUUGUCCGGGUGGGAACGGGGUGAUUACCCGGUGAGUACCCUCCCCUUGCCUUUGGGUUAACUCAAGGAACCUGGGCCUAUUCCCGAUUGGAGCCUCCUGCUCCUGGGGGGGGGUUGGAAAGUUUCGGCGGUUGGGGAUGGACUCGCGGCUUAUCAGCUUGUUGGUGGGGUAGUGGCUUACCAAGGCUUUGACGGGUAGCCGGCCUGAGAGGGUGACCGGCCACAUUGGGACUGAGAUACGGCCCAGACUCCUACGGGAGGCAGCAGUGGGGAAUAUUGCACAAUGGGCGGAAGCCUGAUGCAGCAACGCCGCGUGCGGGAUGACGGCCUUCGGGUUGUAAACCGCUUUCGCCUGUGACGAAGCGUGAGUGACGGUAAUGGGUAAAGAAGCACCGGCUAACUACGUG